GUCGUCCCCGGGGAUGGAGUCCCCCUCCAACCGCCUCGCCGGCUGAUGACUCCUGUCGCAAC
rnacentral:ncRNA from 2 species